rnacentral:rRNA from 1 species
UACAGAGGUCCCAAGCGUUGUUCGGAUUCACUGGGCGUAAAGGGUGCGUAGGUGGCCAGGUAAGUUUGAUGUGAAAGCUCGGAGCUUAACUCCGAAAUGGCAUUGAAUACUAUCUGGCUUGAGGGUCGGAGGGGAGACUGGAAUUCUCGGUGUAGCAGUGAAAUGCGUAGAUAUCGAGAGGAACACCAGUGGCGAAGGCGAGUCUCUGGACGACACCUGACGCUGAGGCACGAAAGCUAGGGGAGCAAACAGG